GUCUUUUUGAUUUUAAUUUAAAGUCGGGCCUGCCCACUGAAUAAUGAAGGGCCGCGGUAUUUUGACCGUGCAAAGGUAGCAUAAUCAUUAGUUUUUUAAUUAAGAACUGGAAUGAAAGGUUUGAUAAAAAAAUUACUGUCUCAAUUUAAUUUUAUUAAAAUUUUAUUUUUAAGUUAAAAAGCUUAAAUAAUUUUAAAAGACGAGAAGACCCUAUAGAGUUUUAUAUUAAUUUUAUUUUAAUAUAAGGAUUUUAAUUUUAUAAUAUAAAUUAAUAUUUAAUUGGGGUGAUUAAAAAAUUUAAUUAACUUUUUUUUAUUAAUUUACAUAGAUUAAUGAAUUAUUGAUCCAUAAUUAAUGAUUAUAAGAAUAAAUUACCUUAGGGAUAACAGCGUAAUUUUUUUAGAGAGUUCUUAUCGAAAAAAAAGAUUGCGACCUCGAUGUUGGAUUAAAGUUAAUUUUUGGUGUAGAAAUUAAAAAUUUAAGUCUGUUCGACUUUUAAAUCUUUACA
rnacentral:rRNA from 1 species